GGACAACACUCCAUCACCUACCCACUAUUCGAGUGUCUUUCCUCCCCAACCUUAUCCCCUUCCGUCUCCUCCCAUCGGCCAAUCUCAGCUCCAAUCUUAUGAUGGAUCGCAGUUUAUGGAUGAUGCUUCUUCAUCAGCAACUCCAUCUCCCCAACAGCCAUCAAGUACUUGGCCUCUUCUGGGUUCCUUCCCCAAGCUUGUUCAAGACUUUGAAAAUUUGAAUUUGAAGAGGAAAAUUUUGGAGAUCCUUGAGGAAUCGAAAUUGAGGGCAAAAAAGUAGAAAGCUUCGACCAUUCCUCCCUAUUUAGAACCUGUGAUGCCGCGAGGAGGUGUUUCGGUACCAAGAGGUCGUCGGGGCCGACCGCCAUCUGCUCACACUGCACGUGGUCGUGGUCGCCGUGGGAGGCCACGCAUGACUGCUGUAACUGCGAUAUCUCCUCUUGGUCCGGGAGGUGGUUUGGCUCUUUGUUGGAAAAAUGAUAUUCAUGUCCGUAUUUUUGGUGCUUGUCUCGGUUUUAUUGAUGCUCUGGAUACAAUCAAAGGCACAACAUUCUGAAUUACUGGUUUCUAUGGUCAUCCUACUACAUCAAAUAAACAUCCCUCUUGGGAGGCUAUUCGUCAAUUAUCUAGUUUGGCAGGCAAUUAUCCUUGGUUCAUUUUCGGUGAUUUCAACGAGAUUUUAGAUGCUUCUGAAAAAUCUGGUGGCUGUCCUCGGCCGCCGAGACAAAUGGAGCUUUUUCAACAAGCUAUUGACGAUUGUGCUCUGCGGCAAUCACAUUUCUCUGGUCCAAUUUACACUUGGAGUAAUGGCUCCAUAGCUGAAAGAUUGGAUAUGGGAUUUUUUAAUGAUCAGGCAGACACACUUUUCCCCAAAGCUCAUCUUAUUCAUCAUGACUUAGGAGCCAGUGACCAUCUUGCUUUGUUCUUUGAUCUUUUUGGACAUGAAUUGCGACCGAAACUGAAGUUUAAAUGAAAAUUUCUCUUUGAGCAGUUCUGGACUCAAGAAUCAGCAUGUGUGGAUAUUAUUUCUGAUGCUUGGUCUUCCUCUAACAAUUUAUCCUUGGAUCAAAAACUUCAUCAUUGUGCUACUGCUCUCCAAAAUUGGAAUCACAAUUCUAUUGGACACAUUCCACAUAAAUUGGCUUCACUUCAUUCAAACCUGCAGAAGUUUCCCAUUGAUGCCUCUUCUCCAUCUGCAAUGCAACAAAGAAAGUCUAUCAAAGCUCAGAUUCAAAAAAAUGGACGUUUUGAAGAAUCCAUGUGGAAACAAAAAUCUAUAAUUGGUUGGCUACGAGAUGGUGACCAAAAUACAAAAUACUUUCAUGCUUGUGCUAAAAGCCGUGGAGCUCUGAAUAAAGUUCGCGGAAUUCAUGAUGCUCAAGGUCAUUGGUGCGAAUCUACAUCUGACAUUCAUUCUGUCUUCCUUUCCUACUUCUCUCAGCUAUACUCUUCCGAGGGUUGUACAAAUAUGCCUGUGGUUUUGUCCUUCAUUCCUUGUAAGGUAACGGCUGCAUGAAAUGCUUCUUUACUUAAGCCAUUUACUC